rnacentral:tRNA from 1 species
GCCCAGGUGGUGAAAUUGGUAGACACGCUACUUUGAGGGGGUAGUGGGAGUAAUCCUGUGCUGGUUCGAGUCCAGUCCUGGGCA